UUGUAAUUCACUUUUACUAGGAAUNAAUACCUACCGGCUAAUACCCGGUAGACUGACAUUACCUAUACAAGAAUUGCACCAGGCUAACUCCGUG
rnacentral:rRNA from 1 species